rnacentral:piRNA from 1 species
UAUGUUUAGAGAAGUCCACCA